rnacentral:rRNA from 1 species
CCUACGGGAUGCAGCAGUGGGGAAUAUUGCACAAUGGGCGCAAGCCUGAUGCAGCCAUGCCGCGUGUAUGAAGAAGGCCUUCGGGUUGUAAAGUACUUUCAGCGGGGAGGGAGGCGAUAAGGUUAAUAACCUUGUCGAUUGACGUUACCCGCAGAAGAAGCACCGGCUAACUCCGUGCCAGCAGCCGCGGUAAUACGGAGGGUGCAAGCGUUAAUCGGAAUUACUGGGCGUAAAGCGCACGCAGGCGGUCUGUCAGGUCGGAUGUGAAAUCCCCGGGCUCAACCUGGGAACUGCAUUCGAAACUGGCUGGCUAGAAUCUUGUAGAGGGGGGUAGAAUUCCAGGUGUAGCGGUGAAAUGCGUAGAGAUCUGGAGGAAUACCGGUGGCGAAGGCGGCCCCCUGGACAAAGACUGACGCUCAGGUGCGAAGGCGUGGGGAGCAAACAGGAUUAGAUACCCCGGUAGUC